rnacentral:rRNA from 1 species
UACGGAAGGCAGCAGGGGGAAUAUUGCACAAUGGGCGCAAGCCUGAUGCAGCCAUGCCGCGUGUAUGAAGAAGGCCUUCGGGUUGUAAAGUACUUUCAGUCGUGAGGAAGGUGUUAAGGUUAAUAACCUUAGCAAUUGACGUUAGCGACAGAAGAAGCACCGGCUAACUCCGUGCCAGCAGCCGCGGUAAUACGGAGGGUGCGAGCGUUAAUCGGAAUUACUGGGCGUAAAGGGCACGCAGGCGGUUAAUUAAGUUGGAUGUGAAAUCCCCGGGCUUAACCUGGGAAUGGCAUUCAAGACUGGUUAGCUAGAGUCUUGUAGAGGGGGUAGAAUUCCAUGUGUAGCGGUGAAAUGCGUAGAGAUGUGGAGGAAUACCGGUGGCGAAGGCGGCCCCUGGACAAAGACUGACGCUCAUGUGCGAAAGCGUGGGGAGCAAAUAGGGAUUAGAUACC